GACGAACGCUGGCGGCGUGCUUAACACAUGCAAGUCGAACGGAAAGGCCCUGCUUUUGUGGGGUGCUCGAGUGGCGAACGGGUGAGUAACACGUGAGUAACCUGCCCUUGACUUUGGGAUAACUUCAGGAAACUGGGGCUAAUACCGGAUAGGAGCUCCUGCUGCAUGGUGGGGGUUGGAAAGUUUCGGCGGUUGGGGAUGGACUCGCGGCUUAUCAGCUUGUUGGUGGGGUAGUGGCUUACCAAGGCUUUGACGGGUAGCCGGCCUGAGAGGGUGACCGGCCACAUUGGGACUGAGAUACGGCCCAGACUCCUACGGGAGGCAGCAGUGGGGAAUAUUGCACAAUGGGCGGAAGCCUGAUGCAGCAACGCCGCGUGCGGGAUGACGGCCUUCGGGUUGUAAACCGCUUUCGCCUGUGACGAAGCGUGAGUGACGGUAAUGGGUAAAGAAGCACCGGCUAACUACGUGCCAGCAGCCGCGGUGAUACGUAGGGUGCGAGCGUUGUCCGGAUUUAUUGGGCGUAAAGGGCUCGUAGGUGGUUGAUCGCGUCGGAAGUGUAAUCUUGGGGCUUAACCCUGAGCGUGCUUUCGAUACGGGUUGACUUGAGGAAGGUAGGGGAGAAUGGAAUUCCUGGUGGAGCGGUGGAAUGCGCAGAUAUCAGGAGGAACACCAGUGGCGAAGGCGGUUCUCUGGGCCUUUCCUGACGCUGAGGAGCGAAAGCGUGGGGAGCGAACAGGCUUAGAUACCCUGGUAGUCCACGCUGUAAACGGUGGGUACUAGGUGUGGGGUCCGUUUCACGGGUUCCGUGCCGUAGCUAACGCUUUAAGUACCCCGCCUGGGGAGUACGGCCGCAAGGCUAAAACUCAAAGGAAUUGACGGGGCCCCGCACAAGCGGCGGAGCAUGCGGAUUAAUUCGAUGCAACGCGUAGAACCUUACCUGGGUUUGACAUGGAUCGGGAGUGCUCAGAGAUGGGUGUGCCUCUUUUGGGGUCGGUUCACAGGUGGUGCAUGGCUGUCGUCAGCUCGUGUCGUGAGAUGUUGGGUUAAGUCCCGCAACGAGCGCAACCCUUGUUCACUGUUGCCAGCACGUUAUGGUGGGGACUCAGUGGAGACCGCCGGGGUCAACUCGGAGGAAGGUGGGGAUGACGUCAAGUCAUCAUGCCCCUUAUGUCCAGGGCUUCACGCAUGCUACAAUGGCUGGUACAGAGAGUGGCGAGCCUGUGAGGGUGAGCGAAUCUCGGAAAGCCGGUCUCAGUUCGGAUUGGGGUCUGCAACUCGACCUCAUGAAGUCGGAGUCGCUAGUAAUCGCAGAUCAGCAACGCUGCGGUGAAUACGUUCCCGGG
rnacentral:rRNA from 1 species